rnacentral:rRNA from 1 species
GACGAACGCUGGCGGCGUGCUUAACACAUGCAAGUCGAACGGAAAGGCCCUGCUUGCGGGGUACUCGAGUGGCGAACGGGUGAGUAACUCGUGGGUGAUCUGCCCUGCACUUCGGGAUAAGCCUGGGAAACUGGGUCUAAUACCGGAUAGGAGCCAUUUUUAGUGUGAUGGUUGGAAAGUUUUUUCGUUGUAGGAUGAGCUCGCGGCCUAUUACCUUGUUGGUGGGGUAAUGGCCUACCAAGGCGGCGACGGGUAGCCGGCCGGAGAGGGUGGACGGCCACAUUGGGACGGAGAGACGGCCCAGACUCCUACGGGAGGCAGCAGUGGGGAAGAUAGCACAAGGGGCGCAAGCCUGAUGCAGCGACGCAGCGUGGGGGAUGACGGCCUUCGGGUUGGAAACGCCUUUCGCUAGGGACGAAGCUUUUUGUGACGGUACCUAGAGAAGAAGCACCGGCUAACUACGUG